UCCUAGAAAGAGCCGCCCUCACGGCCUCUUCAGAAGGCAGCCGGUGCGUGCCAGAGCCAUCUCCGCUGCCCGGAGCCCUUGGUGCUCAGAGCAGGGAUGCUGCGCCCGCAGGGGGAUGCUUCCCGUGCUGCUGGGGGUGAAACAGGGGGGGCUGCGGGGCUGGAGGGGGCCGCAGCCACUCCUGCAGGAGGGACGUGGGAGGCAACUGGUGUGCCAGCGGGCGCGGAGGAAUGCGGCAGCAUGGGGGUGGGGGGGGGGGAGGACAGAAAUUAAUAAUUAUCUAAAGCGCACCCCUAUCACUGUUCAUCAAAAUUUGCCCAUACUUCAUUCCAGCCUCCUUUCUUCUUCUUGCCUCCAGUGAACCUGUGGGCACGGUGUAGAGUAAAUGUUAAUUAAACUACCGUGGAGCUGCUUAGCAGUAGGCCACCACAGGCAAUCCCUUCUGCUUGCAUCGCCGCUGUUGACAGAGCUUAUUUAGAGCGUGCAAGGGAAGACUUUGACCCAAAACAACGGCUGCAAAGGAAAUAGCAGCAACUUCGCUGCGAUCAGUGGCAUUUCCCUGGAUUUCUUCUGGCCUUGCCAAAAGCAGAAUGUGUUGUCGGGCCCGCAGGAAACAAAGUUUUCUUUAUUGCGCAGGAGAUGCUUGCUUUAAUUGCCGUCUUCCCGUGGCCAAGCAGCGGUCACCGCUCACCUCCAGCGGGGCCGGGGCUGGCCGAGGGACGCCGCUGCUCCUGGGUCUGUGCCUCGUCCUGUCGGACAACGCAGCGAGUACCCCGUGCAGCCUGCACCGCGCCGGUGGCUGAGAUGCUCGGGUUUUCCUUCUCUGAUGAGCAAAGGAAAUCCUGACAAAGCGAGCAGGAGCAGGAGUGGUGAGGUGUUGAACUGUGAGUGAUUCCUCGGGUCCUGUCCCGGCGAAGGAUUCACCGAGAAGAGUUUAUCCCCCCGGGGGAAACAGCAGCUACAAGGAUUUUAUUCUCACCCACCCCUCUGGGUAUAAGGGCUUGUUAUAAAUAAUACUCGAGUCUAAAGGAGGUGAAUGAGGACUUUUAUGGAUUUAACACGAAACUCUAACAUCUUUUUCCACUAAAGCUUCUGUCAAUAAAUCAUUUUUUAAUUAUCA
rnacentral:lncRNA from 1 species